GAUGAACGCUGGCGGCGUGCCUAAUACAUGCAAGUCGAGCGAACGGACGAGAAGCUUGCUUCUCUGAUGUUAGCGGCGGACGGGUGAGUAACACGUGGAUAACCUACCUAUAAGACUGGGAUAACUUCGGGAAACCGGAGCUAAUACCGGAUAAUAUUUUGAACCGCAUGGUUCAACAGUGAAAGACGGUCUUGCUGUCAUUUAUAGAUGGAUCCGCGCUGCAUUAGCUAGUUGGUAAGGUAACGGCUUACCAAGGCAACGAUGCAUAGCCGACCUGAGAGGGUGAUCGGCCACACUGGAACUGAGACACGGUCCAGACUCCUACGGGAGGCAGCAGUAGGGAAUCUUCCGCAAGGGGCGAAAGCCUGACGGAGCAACGCCGCGUGAGUGAUGAAGGUCUUCGGAUCGUAAAACUCUGUUAUUAGGGAAGAACAUAUGUGUAAGUAACUGUGCACAUCUUGACGGUACCUAAUCAGAAAGCCACGGCUAACUACGUG
rnacentral:rRNA from 1 species